rnacentral:rRNA from 1 species
UACACACCGCCCGUCACACCACGAAAGUCAAUUGCACCAGAAGUCGCUGUCCUAACCGUAAGGAGGGAGGCGCCCAAGGUGCGGUCGAUGAUUGGGGUGAAGUCGUAACAAGGUACCC